rnacentral:rRNA from 1 species
UACGGAGGAUCCAAGCGUUAUCCGGAUUUAUUGGGUUUAAAGGGUGCGUAGGCGGUUCAUUAAGUCAGUGGUGAAAGCCCGGAGCUCAACUUCGGAACUGCCAUUGAUACUGAUAGACUUGAGUACAGAUGAAGUGGGCGGAAUGUGACAAGUAGCGGUGAAAUGCUUAGAUAUGUCACAGAACACCGAUUGCGAAGGCAGCUCACUAAAGUGUAACUGACGCUGAGGCACGAAAGCGUGGGGAUCAAACAGG